rnacentral:misc_RNA from 1 species
AUGGAGUCUAACAUCUAUGCGAGUGUUUGGGUGUCAAGCCCGGGCGCGUAAUGAAAGUGAACGGAGGUGGGAACCCUCUCGGGGGCGCACCAUCGACCGAUCCUGAUGUCUUCGGAUGGAUUUGAGUAAGAGCAUAGCUGCUGGGACCCGAAAGAUGGUGAACUAUGCUUGAAUAGGGUGAAGCCAGAGGAAACUCUGGUGGAGGCUCGCAGCGGUUCUGACGUGCAAAUCGAUCGUCAAAUUUGGGCAUAGGGGCGAAAGACUAAUCGAACUAUCUAGUAGCUGGUUCCUGC